UGCUACAGGCUUAACACAUGCAAGUCGAGGGGCAGCAUAGUCUUAGCUUGCUAAGGCCGAUGGCGACCGGCGCAUGGGUGAGUAACACGUAUCCAACCUGCCGUCUACUCUUGGACAGCCUUCUGAAAGGAAGAUUAAUACAAGAUGGCAUCAUGAGUCCGCAUGUUCACAUGAUUAAAGGUAUUCCGGUAGACGAUGGGGAUGCGUUCCAUUAGAUAGUAGGCGGGGUAACGGCCCACCUAGUCUUCGAUGGAUAGGGGUUCUGAGAGGAAGGUCCCCCACAUUGGAACUGAGACACGGUCCAAACUCCUACGGGAGGCAGCAGUGAGGAAUAUUGGUCAAUGGGCGAGAGCCUGAACCAGCCAAGUAGCGUGAAGGAUGACUGCCCUAUGGGUUGUAAACUUCUUUUAUAAAGGAAUAAAGUCGGGUAUGGAUACCCGUUUGCAUGUACUUUAUGAAUAAGGAUUGGCUAACUCCGUGCCAGCAGCCGCGGUAAUACGGAGGAUCCGAGCGUUAUCCGGAUUUAUUGGGUUUAAAGGGAGCGUAGAUGGAUGUUUAAGUCAGUUGUGAAAGUUUGCGGCUCAACCGUAAAAUUGCAGUUGAUACUGGAUAUCUUGAGUGCAGUUGAGGCAGGCGGAAUUCGUGGUGUAGCGGUGAAAUGCUUAGAUAUCACGAAGAACUCCGAUUGCGAAGGCAGCCUGCUAAGCUGCAACUGACAUUGAGGCUCGAAAGUGUGGGUAUCAAACAGGAUUAGAUACCCUGGUAGUCCACACGGUAAACGAUGAAUACUCGCUGUUUGCGAUAUACUGCAAGCGGCCAAGCGAAAGCGUUAAGUAUUCCACCUGGGGAGUACGCCGGCAACGGUGAAACUCAAAGGAAUUGACGGGGGCCCGCACAAGCGGAGGAACAUGUGGUUUAAUUCGAUGAUACGCGAGGAACCUUACCCGGGCUUAAAUUGCAGAUGAAUUACGGUGAAAGCCGUAAGCCGCAAGGCAUCUGUGAAGGUGCUGCAUGGUUGUCGUCAGCUCGUGCCGUGAGGUGUCGGCUUAAGUGCCAUAACGAGCGCAACCCUUGUUGUCAGUUACUAACAGGUUCCGCUGAGGACUCUGACAAGACUGCCAUCGUAAGAUGUGAGGAAGGUGGGGAUGACGUCAAAUCAGCACGGCCCUUACGUCCGGGGCUACACACGUGUUACAAUGGGGGGUACAGAGGGCCGCUACCACGCGAGUGGAUGCCAAUCCCCAAAACCUCUCUCAGUUCGGACUGGAGUCUGCAACCCGACUCCACGAAGCUGGAUUCGCUAGUAAUCGCGCAUCAGCCACGGCGCGGUGAAUACGUUCCCGGGCCUUGUACACACCGCCCGUCAAGCCAUGGGAGCCGGGGGUACCUGAAGUGCGUAACCGCGAGGAGCGCCCUAGGGUAAAACUGGUGACUGGGGC
rnacentral:rRNA from 1 species